ACGGAAGGCAGCAGUGGGGAAUAUUGCACAAUGGGGGAAACCCUGAUGCAGCAACGCCGCGUGAGUGAAGAAGUAUUUCGGUAUGUAAAGCUCUAUCAGCAGGGAAGAUAAUGACGGUACCUGACUAAGAAGCUCCGGCUAAAUACGUGCCAGCAGCCGCGGUAAUACGUAUGGAGCAAGCGUUAUCCGGAUUUACUGGGUGUAAAGGGUGUGUAGGUGGCACUGCAAGUCAGAUGUGAAAGACCGGGGCUCAACCCCGGGGCUGCAUUUGAAACUGCGGGGCUGGAGUGCAGGAGAGGCAAGCGGAAUUCCUAGUGUAGCGGUGAAAUGCGUAGAUAUUAGGAGGAACACCAGUGGCGAAGGCGGCUUGCUGGACUGAUACUGACACUGAGGCACGAAAGCGUGGGGAGCAAACAGGAUUAGAUACCCUGGUA
rnacentral:rRNA from 1 species